GAUGAACGCUGGCUACAGGCUUAACACAUGCAAGUCGAGGGGAAACGACGGGGAAGCUUGCUUCCCCGGGCGUCGACCGGCGCACGGGUGAGUAACGCGUCUCCAACCUGCCUCUGACUGUGGGAUAACCCGUCGAAAGUCGGCCUAAUACCUCAUGGCAUCGUCUGCGGGCAUCCAACGACGAUUAAAGAUUUCAUCGGUCAGGGAUGGGGAUGCGUCUGAUUAGCUUGUUGGCGGGGUAACGGCCCACCAAGGCUACGAUCAGUAGGGGUUCUGAGAGGAAGGUCCCCCACAUUGGAACUGAGACACGGUCCAAACUCCUACGGGAGGCAGCAGUGAGGAAUAUUGGUCAAUGGGCGGGAGCCUGAACCAGCCAAGUAGCGUGCAGGAGGACGGCCCUAUGGGUUGUAAACUGCUUUUAUGCGGGGAUAAAGUGAGGGACGUGUCCUUCAUUGCAGGUACCGCAUGAAUAAGGACCGGCUAAUUCCGUG
rnacentral:rRNA from 1 species